GGAGAUAUAGCUCAGUUAGUAGAGUGCUUGCCUCACACGCACAAGGUCCUGGGUUCAAUCCCCAGCACCA
rnacentral:tRNA from 1 species